rnacentral:misc_RNA from 1 species
AAAGUCGUAACAAGGUAACCGUAGGUGAACCUGCGGUUGGAUCAUUACUGAAAAUGAUAUCAGUUACAGAUUUUACGAUCUGUUGCUGUGCACGAUAGUGCAACACUUACUGUGCAUUGUACAUGUACCUGGUGGGUGAACAGUCUUUGUAAGAAGGUUGUUCGGACUGUUGCUAAUCUGUGGGUUAGCAACACAACACAAGUCAGCCCAUCAGAUGUGUCCUUUACUUUUGUUAUUUUAUAUUUUGUCUGAUUUAAAAGCUAUUUGUAGUAAUAUACAAACAACUUUUGGCAACGGAUCUCUUGGUUCUC